CCGGGCGAAGCAGCCGGAUGGGAAACUCCCGGGCAGUGGCCGGAAAGGGGCGAAGAACUAGGAGCCGAGGGAGGGCUUGCCGGCCUGAGGCUGAAGCUAGGCUGAGGCUGAGGCUGCGGUUGUGUUCUGGCAGGACCUGUUUGUGGGCGCUGGCUGAAAAGAUUGAAAUGAAGGGAUGAAAAGGAGGGGGAAGUCAGCGAAUACCGGUUAAAAAAGGAGGAAUGCACAGCUGAUGGGUGAAGUCUAGGCUCUACCGUAUUUAAUCCCCGAGUUAACGAGCAUUUAUUCAAUCGUUUCCAAUUUUCUCUGCACCUUGUUGGGUAAGUUAGCAUUCUCACUUGGAUCAGUUGGUAAAGAAGUCUGAUUAGGUUUUACUUUCUUCAUCUGACAUCGUGGUUUCAAACAUAAUUUAGGGAAUAUCCUGGCGCCUUUAUCCUAAUGUUCCUUGGUGGAUUUUAGAAGAUGUUGGAAGAUAUGCACAUUGAACAAAACCAAAAAUUCUGAAACAUGGUCACCCAACAGUAAUAAGUAAUCUUUAGGGGAAGAAAUUGCAUGAAACUAAGAAUUUAUUUUUGUGGUGAUUCUGGAACAACUUUACCUUGCUCCUCUGCUGAAGUCUAUAAAAACUAUUGCAACUGGUAAGGUAAGUUGUCAAAAGUUAUAUCCCAAACUCAAUAUUACAGAAUCCAUCCUCUUGCUAGUUUAAAAAAAAAAAAGUGUAUCUAAGAUGGACCCAGACAAGAAAAAACUUAAAGCAGUGAAAGCACUAUUCUUAAGAUAAAAUAAUUGUAGAAAUACUUCGAAACUCUAUGUAUACAACUAUCCUUAUACCCAACUGUAAGGCCUUUUUAUGCAAAAGGAAGUAGUACCUUUUUUCCCUCCUAUUUUGGUAGUUGGGAUUGAACCCAGGGUCUCAUGCCUGCCAAGUAAGUGUUCUACCACUGAAUUAUAGCCCCAUACUUUGUUUGCUACUUUAAAAAAGUAAAUUUAUUGAAAUCAAAAGAAGCUUCUAAAAGAAUGAAGUAGAGUUCUGCUCUGCAAGAAGGAAUUAUGCUGAGAAUCUGGUUGCAGCAUUAUGCUAGAUGAAUUUUUUUAACUGGUAAAUGCCCCAAUGAAUUCAGGUUUUAAGACUUGAAGGAAAACUUUCUUGCCCCCCAAAAUGAAACUGAUCCCUCUAAAUGGAUGCCCAAAAUAUAAAAUUGUUUUUGGUUCGGGGUUAGAUUGUAAACCCUUUUUUUCCACCUGUAUUGAGAUUUGACAAAGUAUAUAUGUUUAAAGUGUACGACAUGUUUUUUAUAUAUGCAUAUGUUAUGCAAUGAUUACUCUCUUCCUCUGAUUUUUUUUUAUUGGAAACAUUUUUGUUACUGUUCACUUGUCCAUAUCAGAAUAAUUGUUCUUGAUUUUAUCACUCAUCUUAAUCAGUUUGGUUAGAUAUUCCAUUACUUUUUAUCCCAGUGCUUUAAUAAAAUAAAUUUAAAGAUGAC
rnacentral:lncRNA from 1 species